UAGUUGAACACAGUUAGAAAAUCUGAUCAGGACUGACCUGAAAUGAAGAGAAUCUUCACUGCUGAUCACUU